GACGAACGCUGGCGGCGUGCCUAAUACAUGCAAGUCGAACGCAGUGGGGACGGGUGAGUAACACGUGGGUAACCUCCCAUCAGAGGGGAUAACACUUGGAAACAGGUGCUAAACCGAUAUUGGUGGAUGGACUCGCGGUGCAUUAGCUAGUUGGUGAGGUAACGGCGCACCAAGGCCACGAUGCAUAGCGGGCCUGAGAGGAUGAUCGGCCACACGGGGAAUGAGACACGGCCCAGACUCCUACGGGAGUCAGCAGUAGGGAAUCUUGGGCAAUGGGCGAAAGUCUGACCGAGCAACGCCGCGUGAGUGAAGAAGGUUUUCGGAUCGUAAAGCACUGUUGUUAGAGAAGCGGUAUCUACCCAGAAAGCCACGGCUAACUACGUGCCAGCCGCCGCGGUAAUUC
rnacentral:rRNA from 1 species